rnacentral:rRNA from 1 species
AUACGGAGGGUGCGAGCGUUAAUCGGAAUUACUGGGCGUAAAGGGCGCGCAGGCGGUUUGGUAAGUCAGAUGUGAAAGCCCACGGCUCAACCGUGGAAGUGCAUUUGAAACUGCCAGACUUGAGUACCAGAGGGGAAAGUGGAAUUCCCGGUGUAGAGGUGAAAUUCGUAGAUAUCGGGAGGAAUACCGGUGGCGAAGGCGACUUUCUGGCUGGAUACUGACGCUGAGGCGCGAAAGCGUGGGGAGCAAACAGGAUUAGAAACCCUUGUAGUCC